UACGAGGUGCUCAAGCGUUGUUCGGAUUCAUUGGGCGUAAAGGGUGCGUAGGCGGCGCGGUAAGUCGGGUGUGAAAUUUCGGAGCUUAACUCCGAAACUGCAUUUGAUACUGGCGUGCUUGAGGACUGGGAGAGGAGACUGGAAUUCAUGGUGUAGCAGUGAAAUGCGUAGAGAUCAUGAGGAAGACCAGUGGCGAAGGCGGGUCUCUGGACAGUUCCUGACACUGAGGCACGAAGGCCAGGGGAGCAAACGGG
rnacentral:rRNA from 1 species